CCUCCCUCCUCCCUCCCUCUCUUCCCCUCCCCCAUUCCUCUCUCGCCCUCUUUCUCUCUUUCUCUCUGUCUCCCUGGGUAAAGUGGUGUCUCGUUUCCACUCACCGCACCCCCAGAACAGGGGCUUUGCUGAAGGGUGACCAGGGCACAGUCCUCAACCUGUCAGUCUGACUGCGACCCCGCCCCUCUCCACCCUCGGAGUUCCUGAGUGACCCCAGUGGGAGUGGAUUGAGAGGUGGUCUCGGCGGCCACAGUUGUUGGUUGCUUUUUUUUUUUUUUUUUUUGAACGGGGGAAAUCCUGCUGAAAGGGGGGAAGGGGGGGGGGGGGGGGGGGGGGGGGGGCGGGGGUAGAACUGUUGACGUUUCUUAAAUGGAUGGGGGACGGACGGGCCGUUUCCAUCGGAACACCCACCCCUGCCCAGCCGGGCUUUGUGCCUCCUCGGUGCAGUAGGACGAGCCCGGGAGAGAAAGAGACACAGAGAGAGACGCGCAGAGAGAGGGAAGGAAGGGAGAGCGUGGAAACAGACGUGAAACGGACCUGAAAUAGCCUAGGCCAGGGAUCCACAACCCGCCGUGGAUUUACAGCCGGCCGGGGAGAGGCCCUGGCUCCAAGCUGCCCGGGCCUGGCCCGGGCCAGGGGCGCCGCCAAUCCGG
rnacentral:lncRNA from 1 species